UGAAUACGAGAUGCUAAGGCGUCGAAGUAGUGUAUGUCAUACUUCCAAGAAAAGCUUGCACUGUCAUAAAUAGAAAAUGCCUGUACCAUAACCGACACAGGUGGGUAGGUAGAGUAUACUAAGGGGCGCGAGAUAACUCUCUCCAAGGAACUCGGCAAAAUGACUCCGUAACUUCGGGAGAAGGAGUGCCUUAUUCGUAAGGCUGCAAUAACAAGAUCCAAGCAACUGUUUAUCAAAAGCACAGGUCUCCGCUAAGUCGUAAGACGAUGUAUGGGGGCUGACGCCUGCCCAGUGCCAGAAGGUUAAAGAAGUUGGUUAGCAUUAGCGAAGCUGAUAACUGAAGCCCUGGUGAACGGCGGCCGUAACUAUAACGGUCCUAAGGUAGCGAAAUUCCUUGUCGGGUAAGUUCCGACCCGCACGAAAGGCGUAAUGAUUUGGAUACUGUCUCGGAGAGGGGCUCGGUGAAAUAGACUUGUCUGUGAAGAUGCGGACUACCUGCACCAGGACAGAAAGACCCUAUGAAGCUUUACUGUAACUUGAAAUUGAAAUUGGACUUUAGUCGCGCAGUAUAGUGGGAGGCGUUGAUGAUAUUCUUGCGGGAGUAUUGGAGCUAUCAGUGAGAUACCACUCUUCUAAUGUUAGAUUUCUAACUUUGAACCAUUAUCUGGUCAGAGAACAGUUUCAGGCGGGCAGUUUGACUGGGGCGGUCGCCUCCCAAAUGGUAACGGAGGCGUACAAAGGUUUCCUCUGAACGGGUAGAAAUCGUAUCUAGAGUGUAAAGGCAUAAGGAAGCUUGACUGUAAGACCUACAAGUCGAACAGGGACGAAAGUCGGUCUUAGUGAUCUGACGGUACUGAGUGGAAAGGCCGUCACUCAACGGAUAAAAGUUACUCUAAGGAUAACAGGCUGAUCUCCCCCAAGAGUUCACAUCGACGGGGAGGUUUGGCACCUCGAUGUCGGCUCAUCGCAUCCUGGGGCGGUAGUACGUCCCAAGGGUUGGGCUGUUCGCCCAUGAAAGCGGUACGCGAGCUGGGUUCAGAACGUCGUGAGACAGUUCGGUCCAUAUCCGGUGUAGGCGUUAGAAUAUUGAGAGGAGCCUUCUUUAGUACGAGAGGACCGAGAAGGACAUACCUAUGGUGUACCAGUUAUCGUGCCAACGGUAAACGCUGGGUAGCUAAGUAUGGAGUGGAUAACCGCUGAAAGCAUCUAAGUGGGAAGCCCACCUCAAGAUGAGUAUUC
rnacentral:rRNA from 1 species